UAGGGAAUCUUCCGCAAUGGACGCAAGUCUGACGGAGCAACGCCGCGUGAGUGAAGAAGGAUUUCGGUUCGUAAAACUCUGUUGUUAGAGAAGAACAGCGCAUAGAGUAACUGUUAUGCGUGUGACGGUAUCUAACCAGAAAGCCACGGCUAACUACGUGCCAGCAGCCGCGGUAAUACGUAGGUGGCAAGCGUUGUCCGGAUUUAUUGGGCGUAAAGCGAGCGCAGGCGGUCAAUUAAGUCUGAUGUGAAAGCCCCCGGCUCAACCGGGGAGGGUCAUUGGAAACUGGUUGACUUGAGUGCAGAAGAGGAGAGUGGAAUUCCAUGUGUAGCGGUGAAAUGCGUAGAUAUAUGGAGGAACACCAGUGGCGAAGGCGACUCUCUGGUCUGUAACUGAUGCUGAGGUUCGAAAGCGUGGGUAGCAAACAGG
rnacentral:rRNA from 1 species